GCGGCGAACGGGUGAGUAACGCGUGAGUAAUCUGCCUUUUAGUUGGGGACAACCAUUCUAACGGAUGGCUAAUACCGAAUAUAGUGGUAAGUCGCAUGACUUAUUGACAAAAGGGGCUUCGGCCUCGCUGAAAGAUGAACUCGCGUCCUAUUAGCUAGUUGGUAGAGUAAUAGCCUACCAAGGCAACGAUAGGUAGCCGGCCUGAGAGGGUGAUCGGCCACAUCGGGACUGAGAUACGGCCCGGACUCC
rnacentral:rRNA from 1 species